rnacentral:rRNA from 1 species
GACGAACGCUGGCGGCGGGCUUAACACAUGCAAGUCGAACGGAAAGGCCCUGCUUGUGUGUGGUGCUCGAGGGGCGAACGGGUGAGAAACACGGGAGUAACCUGCCCUGUACUGUGGGAUAACUUCAGGAAAGUGGGGAUAAUACCUGAGAGGAGCGCCUGCUGCAGGGGGGGGGUUGGAAAGUUUCGGCGGUGGGGGGUGGACGCGGGGCUUGUCAGCUGGUGGGGUGGGUAGUGGCUUAGCAAGCCUUUGGCGGGUAGCCGGCCUGGGAGCGUGACCGCCCACCUUGGGACUGCGGUACGGACCAGUCUCCUACGGGAGGCAGUAGUGGGGAAUCUUGCCCAAUGGGCGGAAGCGUGAUGCAGAAACGCCGCGUGCGUGAUGAAGGCCUUCGGGUUGUAAACCGCUUUAGCCUGUGACGAAGCGUGAGUGACGGUACUGGGUAAAGAAGCACCGGCUAACUACGUG